GUGUCAGCAGCCGCGGUAAGACGGAGGGUGCUAGCGUUGUUCGGAAUCACUGGGCGUAAAGGGCGCGUAGGCGGCCUUGCAAGUCGGUUGGUGAAAGCCCGGGGCUCAACCCCGGAGGUGCGGCCGAGACUGCAGGGCUGGAGGCCGGAAGAGGAGGGUGGAAUACCCAGUGUAGAGGUGAAAUUCGUAGAUAUUGGGUGGAACACCGGUGGCGAAAGCGGCUCUCUGGUCCGGACCUGACGCUGAGGCGCGAAAGCGUGGGGAGCAAACAGGAUUAGAAACCCUUGUAGUCC
rnacentral:rRNA from 1 species